CCCCCGGUCACCAUCCCUCCCCUCUAGAUGAAUGGGGGUCUCUAAGAUAUCAGCUCUGUCACCAUGCAGGGGUCGGGACCAAAAUCCUCCAGCUUCCUGUGCCUUUCAAAACCUGAAAAGCACGUCUCUCCUCCAUUUGAUGAUCCUGUAUGAUUUUUUUUGUUGUUGUUGCGCUUUUGUGGGUCCCUGGAAGCUCGUUGCCCCCCCUGUUUUUUUUUCAUCCCGGGUCAGCCAAGAGCAUGGCGGCCGAAUUAGAGACGAUUAGAAACGGGUUUAAUUGCGUGUAGUCCACACUGCAAAAAGUCAACUAGUCUUGGAAUAAAAUUGACCUUAAAUAAAAUUUAGGAUUUUGAUAAGGGAGUUCGGCCUGUUUACUAUGCCCCAUUGUUUCAGGGAAAGUACAAUAUGUUGAAUUUAAGGGGGGGAAGUCAGUUUAUAUCACAAACAACAAUUAUUUGGCACAUUUUGCGUCGAGAUAUGGAGAUUUUUGCAGCAUAAUAUACGAACUGCGUGCGUAAAAAUGCAUUAGUGAUUAAUUUUACUUGUUAAAUCUUCAUAUCAUCAUAUAGUUUAUAUGUAAAGCUACUUGUCAUUCUUCUAAAAGUCAUAACAUGAUAGAAAACUAAAGUUUGGCUUUUUAUUUUUAGGCUAAACAUGCGUGUUUCUAUUGGUGAAUCACCCUCCAGACAUCAACCUUUACUCCUCUGUUUAUUCAUCAGACAUCACUGUAUGGAGAUGAUGUCUAUAUAAUAUUUUUUAUUUUUUUUUUGCUGUGAAUGUGUUUACAGAGAAAUCCUCUGGAGUCGCCGAGCAGCGGACUUUGGGGCUGCUGAAUUUUCUGGUUUCAGCCCUUUAUAGGUUUUAAUAACUCUUAAUCCGUCUGAUCGCUCUGGCGUAGAUAAGUCUCAUUUGAAUUGGGAUUGUUCUUAAGGAGCGGCUCGUAUUUCUCCACAGAAGUCUCAAACAGAGCUUAGCAACAAAACAACUGCACCACCCUGAGCGCAAUUAAGGCCUCAGCUAAAUUAGAUGAAGGCUAAUUGAAUGCAGCUGAGUUCCCAUCAGCCAAACUCUUGAAUGCUUCACUAAUAGGAGAAAAACGUUCAGAGGAAUGGCAUUGUGUUUUUUUUUUCCUCCUCUCACGUUUAAUAUUUCUUAAAGUGUCAAAAAAAAGUGAAUUUUCUUCCAGACGAAGCUGCAGCUCUUCUGUCUGAAUCCACACCCUGUUGGAGAGGAUUUUAUUUUAUUUUUAUUUUUUAUUUAAAGAGACACAAAACUAAGUGGAAAGUUUCUGUAGCUGUUUUUAAUUGAGCUGUGUUAGAUGUAGAAAAAAAAAACCCUGACCGAUAUAAAAACUUAGUGAAAAUAACGAUUCACGCUGUGACAAUUCCACCAAAUUUAAUUCUGAUUUCUGUCUCCAAGUCUCGCAGUGGAAAAUACAGUUUUGUUUAAAAAAAAAAAAAAAAACAAACUCAGUGAUUUGUGUAUUCAUCCUAAAACAGGAUUAGUAUGAGCCCUGAGAGUAAAACCUAAAACUGGAUGGAGGAACACGAAGAGUCAGUUUGUUCAAUUUCUCUUUUAUUGUGAAAUAAAGAACUUCACGGCGAGCUCAAGCUUUUAAAAAAAUAAAACACUACAUAAGAUGCCCAAAAAUAAAUUAAAGUUACAAUAAUAAACACAAAAAUGGAAAAGGGGAUAAAAACUCAUCGCUUUCAUUUGAAAACGAAUCUUUUUUUAUUUUAUUUUGAAAUGAUUUAAAGGUCUGAGAGAGGAGUUUUAAGCCUCUUUUCACAGCAGCCAUUUUGACAUGAAACAGUGCAGGUGUUUGCAAUGAUGUUAAUUAAAGUUCUGCUCCAUUUACUGCAGCAGAGACUUUCCAGCAUUCGUGUUUAGUAAGAAUGGCUGCUAUAUGUGACUUUAAGAAUCAACGAGGAAGGAUAUAAAAGGUUUUUAAAAAGGAAAAAAGUUAAUGGAGAAAGAGGCACACUAAAGUUCCCUCUUUCCUUUUUUUUUCUUUUUUCGCCAAAACAAAUGCGUAAAAGUCAUGAAUGAGUUUUAUUUUCUCAUUUCCGGAUGCAUCAGGUAGAUUUACAGUCCCAGUGAGUGAUGCUCAACUGGUGUCAGGCCCUCACUGUCCCUCACGUUGACCUGCUGCUGCUGGAGAGUUUUCCAGCUGUUGCGCAGGACUUUACGUGUCCGGACGUCUUAACUUGUGACAGGAAAGAAUGGACUGCACGUGUUGUCUAUUUCCGUAAGGUUAAUGGGUUUACAUUCUCAGUUAUACAGAACAAAUAGGUUGCCAUGCAACAUGGGUGAGGGGGGGAGUUGAAAAGGAGGGGAACAAGAGGAGGGGGAAUGAAAACGUGCCGCUGAACGCACCUCAAAGGAAACCUAAUGUAACGUUAAGAGAUGCGCAGCAGUCCACCUGAUGUUCACCGACCACCACCACCGCCCCUCCCUCCAUUUGACUCGGUGGCCUCUGAAGUUCUUGCACCACGAUGCAACCUGUGCACCCAGGAUGCUUUACGGGUUUGGGAUCGUCCAAAUGCCACAUGCACCUGUCUCCAAGCUCCUGCGUUUACGAGGAAGGAGGAACAGGUGGAACGCACUUGCUGCAGAAUAAACUCACAUUUUUGUACACUAAGAGCAGGUUCAAGCACGCAGGCAGGCCAGUGAAAUAAACAGUCCAAAUCUAUUAUAUUUAUAUAUAUUCUUUAAAAAGCUCCUCAUAUGUAAAUAUUAUGUAAAUCAUAGAAAAGGACUGAGUUUGCGAUCACUGCAUCUCUGCAAAGGUGCAUUUCACCCAUUUCCAAAUGUAUUCAUCUUCAGUUUAAGCAGUAGAUUCAAGCUGCGACCCUACAAUCUGCAGCCUGACUGGAUUAUUAUUAUUUUUUUUUUUUGUACAAUCCAGUUAUGCUCAUAUCACAGCACAGACACGUUCCUGAAAGUGGACCAAAAAAUCCAUGAUAUGACAUCCAGUCCCCCCCCAUCACCCUCCUGUGUAUUUCUGUUUCAUUCCAAAUGGGAGCAACAAUCUCUGUUAUGUCUCCGGGUCUAGCUUGCAACUUUAAUUAUAGUGGAAGGAGGUCAGUCAUAAGCGGUUAUUCGACCCCUCUCCCUGUGUGGCAUCGCGCCCUUGCGCCGUUUAACUCGCCAAAAUAGUGCUGGACUCCCCUGAAAGCACCAUGUGCGACGGAGUCCCUUUCACCCCCUUGUUGCACCUGAGUUGUUUUUACCCCCCAGUCGCAGAUAUGUUGUGAAUUUGUCACUUAUCAGGGGGCACUCUGUCAAAGGCCAUUUUAAGGCGCAAUAACUUUCCCAGAUGGAUUUAGCCUGCCAACUUUUUGUGCAUCUCUCAGCAGCGAGAUGAAUAGGCUGCAUGCCUGUUGCUUCCCAGAAAUGCCUCUUACGCCUACUAAUGAAGACUAAUUAAAACAUGACAAACAUCGACCUUUAGUGCAUCCUAAACAGGGCUGCAAGCAUGAUUUGGAUUAUGCAAAUGAUUAUGCAUCUUUGACAAUAUUCAAGUAGGUGACAUAUGACAUAUUUCGUGCACGUGUGUGUGUGUGUGUGUGUUUGUGGACAGAUCGGUUGUUUAAAUCCGUGUGUGUGUGUGUGUGUGUGAUUUCUGCCACACAACAGGUGUCUGUGCUAUUGAUUUUUUAGGAUACACAGUCUGAAUGAUUGAAGGAGUGUUUUUCAUAUUUGAUAUUUUGAUAAAUAUGUGUCUCAUUUACACAGCUGAAGCCCCAAAACAGAGGAAUCUAACAGAGCUAAUCUUAAAAUCACUGAGUAAAUGUGUUGAAUCCAAACUUCCAGAGCUUCCCCUCAUAUUUAAUUCUUUGAUUAUUUAUAGGAAACUAAUCAAAGGGCAUGAUUGACAUCUGGUGUACACGUUUAGCCCACUACUCUGUGAGUUUCCACAAAAUGCAGAGUUAUUUUGUUGUUGUUGUUGUUGUUGUUGCCUGCCUCUCAGGAUAGAUCAUGCAAUGGAAAUGCUCACCUUGAUUUAUUCCAUUACCUUUUAUUCAGUUAUUCUUAUUACCCCACUCGAUUUACAGAGUCUGAUCUGGGCUGUAAGAUGCACUGGGUGUGUUUAAUUUACACUGGGAAGGAUUUGUUUGGAUGGCAUGCAUAAUGUGCCAUCACCUGAGGUUUAUGCUGUCAUUUUUAUUAUUGUCCUGCGGAAGGAAGAGGAGGAAUCAACAGGAAUGGCACACAAGGCUGAGCAUGCUGACUGAACUGAUAAAUCCCACUGAGACGUGAACUGUUGUUUACACUGCUGGAGAUGAUGCCGAAAACACAGGGAGUGCAGGUAGUCCCUGUGUUUUUUAUGUAGAUGCUUUGCUUUUAUUCAUUUGAUUUUCCUCGGAUUUGACCUAAAGCACCGGAGGAAUGACCACAAAAAACAAAAUAAUGGUAUCAACAGCUUCUUAAAUGAGUAAACGUGGAAAAGGUGUGGACGGAUCAUUUCAUCCCAGACAGGGAUGGCCUACGUGGAGAAGGCAGAGAGCAGCCUGAGACUGCCAUUUGAAUGGGAUCUGAGAGGUAAUUUGAGCUAAAAUGGAGUCCACUUCUGAGCCACUCACUCAGCCCCCCCAUGGCAUCCACUGUAAUUCAUUAUUCCUGGCCCGGCACUGGGAGAGGCAAUGAGCGAAGGGCAGAGGACAGGAGUGGACCCAGCUCUGGUGUAAUGAAGACUCAGUAGACCUAAACGACCCACACAGACCUGAGUGCGCACACACACACACACACAGCCUUUCAUUAUAUAUCAGAGAGCAGGACAUUAAUGCCACAGAAGACCUUUUGGCAGAGAAAUAAGAGUGUGCAAUGAUUUUCUCCACACUCAAUCCAUUUCAUUGACCUUUUCUAUCAUGCAUGUGACUCUACCCACUCAGUUCAGUGUGAGAUAAAUAUUCCAGGAAUAAUAUCCCUUCCACCGUUUAAUAAAUUAUCUUUUUAGAAUCUGAAUUUUUAUGUUUAUCAGUGGUCUUGGACAGGCUGUAAAUAAAAUCUGAGUUUUUUUAAAGAACAAUAUUUGAUACGAUUGUCUAAAGUUUUCUUCUUUCUGUGCAACAUUUGCAUUCUUGAACAUGCAUUAACCUCCAUAAACACACUCUAUCUGCCUGUUUUUUUGUCUAAACCUUAAGGAGAUUUAUGUUUUCUAAAUCCAGUCUUCAUAAAAGUAGAUGCAUGAACAAGUUAAACCCUUUUUGCAUUGUAAGAUCAGGCCCUGUAAGACAUUACUGUUCCUUGUCCCUCCACUAGGGGUCCACAGAUGUCAUGGUAAUAAUGUCCAGACAAGCUGAGAGGAUAAAUACUGUCAUCUGGUGGUAACAAAAGCAAUCACUAUUGAGCAGACAGCACUGUAAUCUCUAUUACACAGCACUCUCCAGAAUGCCCCUUCUCCAUCUCCAUAUUCAACGUGUUUCAACUUUUAAAACUAGAUGUUAAGAUUUAACUUUAGGUCCAGUCCAGGAGGGACACAGACAUCUUGUCAAGAAAAAAAAAAAAAAAGCAACUGAGAGACUUUUAAAUGUGAGUGACAGGCGGAGUGAGGUGACAGGAGAAGUCUGCAGCAGAGGCUUGUGUUCAGAGAGAGAGAGUCAGGCCACCUGUACGCACAGAGUCUGAGUAAGAGACUGCUGAAGGGCCCGAAGGUGAGUAGAAAUGACUACAGACACGUUUUAUAACAGAUAACAGCUCAUAUUUAUUCACAGUGUUGUGUUUUUGAUUUCAGACUAUUGAAUGUUUAUGUCUCUUUUUGUGUCUUUCUUUCUUUCCAUGAAACAUAAAGACAUUAAUUCAUUGAUUUAUUUAGCUUUACAGCUGUACAGGAUUAUUGAUGACCUGAUGUUUUCUAUUGUCUGCCGUGAAACCCAAAAAAAGAAAAUGUAAUAAAACAUUUAAGCCGCAGAAAAAGUGAAAAUGAAAAUGGCUUCUCAUUCUUAAACAUGCAAAUCAAUCCUUUUCUGUAAUUGGCUUGCCAGUAAGUUAAGUAAGACAUGGCCACGUUAAGAAAAGUCUCAAAACAAACUGGGGAAAAGUUGCAUUAAAGCCCCGAAAAGACACAAUUAUCUCAAGAAAGACUCCCCUUAAGUCGCACAUACACAGUAUUCAGUAUCGGCCUGUUCCAUCUCUUCAUUAAAGCUAAAUGACUUUCAAACACAAUAAAUAUUCUAGGUGUUUUCUGCAUCAUUUUACACACAAAAUGUAUCCUGACAUAUUUGGUAUCUUUGGGAACUUUGGGAUCUCUACUAAAAAUUUCAAAUCUGAUAGAUCUGAACAAUGUUUGGCCGCACAGCAUGUGUUUGUACUGACUGACCCACCGGUGCUUUUACAGAGGGUAGAUACUGUUCGAGUUUUAAGACUUGUUAAAUGUUAACAUCAUUGUCUUCAUGUUUACCGGCGGUUGACUCUCUGCAGCAAAUUAGAGGGCUCUAUAGAAGACAUAAUCAAAACACAAAAGGUGCUGCGAGGAGACGAAAUUGAAUGAGUGUAGCCUAUAGAUGGCUCAGAUCAAUAGAUCAGAUGGACCCGGGCUUGUCUCCUCGACAGAGAGAGGAAGACGGAGAGAGAGAGAGAGAGAUAGAAAGAGAGAGAGAGAGGGGGGAGUUCUUUUGGCAAUAAGGAGCCACUCUAAUGGAGUCUUUCAGUUUGCUGUGGCUGGAAAUGAAAGGAGGCUGAAGCCCGGCCAAUUAUUCUGCCUGAGAAGAGGAGGAGACUGAAAGAGGAGGGAGAGAAGGAGAAGAAGUGGCGUGUGGCGCUGGAUCGUUGGCCUGUCAGACAGACAGACAAACCGAUAGAUAGAUAGAUAGAUAGAUAGAUAGAUAGAUAGAUAGAUAGAGAGAUGGCACAUUCAUAAAUACAUAGAUGUAUAGAGAGGCUCACAGAAUGAGGGGUUUAUUCAGAAUAGCCCACAGAUAUUGGCCCCACUCCCAGAAAUUUCCCCCAGUGCAAAAGGUUAACUGUCAGUCCCCCGCUAGGUAUAAAUAGAAGUCUGCCCUCCAGAAAGGCGUGUUUCAGAGAGAGGGGGUAGACAGAGCAGGGAGGGAGUGCGGGGGGGCAGUUCCUCAUGAUCCCAGUGACACACAGGGGGUAGGAGGGGGUAGUUUCAGGGGUUUUUGGGGAGGGUGAGUAGGGAGGGGUUUUACAGAGCAGAGAGAGGAAAGAUGCAGCCGAAGACAUUAUAAUGGCUCUGGAGACUGACAGAGACCCCGGACAAAAGACUGUCCUCAUCUAUUCAACUUGUCCGUGACAGCAGACACAACAAAAUGCGGUCGUCAGCGCCACAGAAAGCUCCGGUGCAAUUGAGCAUUUGACACCCCCCCUCCUCCAAAAAAAAAACCAAACAAAAAAAAUAAAUGUAGAGGGCUAUUGUUUUAUUAAGGCUGUGGAGAUGUGCAAUUAGGCUAGUGUCUGGUAAUCCAAGGCUGAUUGAAUGGUUGAAGCUCAGUUACAUUACGUACGUCGGUGUCAGGUUUAUGUAACUGGAAAGAGAAGCUAGAUAGAGGUUAUAUGUGAAGUGCCAUGAAGAUAAAUCUUAUAUUUACCUCUUCUAAUAAACUAAUUUUUACAUCAUUUAACCCAACCCCGUAUGUGAGCGACGACUACACAAAGUUCUCCUUGUCAGGUGUUUUUUUAUUUUUCACUUAAAUCCAUGGUAGCAAAAAUGAUACACACAGCUGAAAUAUCAGACACACAGAAACAUCAAAACAAACACAGAAAAAAUAAAAAAAAGGUGCUUCACCACCUCCAAAAAAUAAAGCUUCCUCUUCAGUUUAGCACACCUGAAUGUAAGCAGAUUCGACCUGACGUGAUCUGCCCUGAAAGAAGUAUUUAAAAAAAUAAAUCAGGUUUCCUUCGAUAAUGCUACUAAAAUGAGAUUUGUUUUUUUUUUUGUUUGACACAAUAUAUUUUCUUAUGUCGUCUCUCUCUAUGGUGAGAGUCAUUGGUAUUGACUCUAAAAGGCAUGUAAGAAAAACAAAGAUGUUAUUGCUUUUUUUUUUUGAAGUAUCCACACUGCAUAUACUUACAAGUUAUAUUUCUUUUUUUUUUUUAAGCCUUUGUCAGAAAUAAUAAAUAAGGAAGAAUAAUCGGCUCAUGAAUACUCUGAUUGCACUUAAUCCUCUAGACCCCCAAACUCUAACUAACAUACUGUAGGUCUAGUAUGGUAAUACCUGUCUGAUUACAUAGGCAAGCCAUUAUACAUACAAGCAAUAAUGUCAUUAUGUUUGUACAAAUGAUAAAACUAAAAACUGUUAUAGUGACAAAAGCACUACAUUCUAUAAUACACAGGCAAUCACAGAUUGCAAAUCUUAAGUAAUAAUAAUGUCCUGCCCUCUCCUUCAAACCGGCGUAUAUUCCCAAACUACUAGCGCUAAGUUUUAAAAGGACACAGUUUGAAGUGGAAAACGUGUACAGUCGCACAGUAAAAAUGUUCGUCUCCGUGGGAAUCACAGGUCUGUUCUACCAAGACAUUUAACACCUGGUCACAAAGGGGGAGAAGAAAAAAAAGAAUCAUCACUGGAAAGUGUUAUACAAACUGUUUUGACAUUAACCACAAAUGCUGGCGAAAGUUGUUGUAGUAUACUCCUGGUACAUUCUCACUGCGGCGGCCUUCGUCACUCUGCUGAUGAUAUAACAAACUAAAAGAAGGUGGCAUGCUGGCAUUUCUUUGCUUUGACGUCUUCUCCCUCCUCCCGAUUAAACAAUCUUUAGUUUGUCCGUCUGAAACUUACAAGAGACGAAACAAAGUCUCCGAGUAGCUAUCCGGCAAGUCAAAUGUUAAGCUUGUGCGGGUACUGCGAUACUGUUCACAGGUGAAUACGACUCAUUCCCAUUGAGGAACCAAAAUCUUUUGCGGUUUCCGCCCAAAAUGUGUGAACACUUGAAGUACAUGUCAUCAUAUAUACGCAAGUGAAUAUCAGCCAGCGCGAACUGGCAGUUGGCACUCCUUUACAUAUUUCCUGUCUCUCUUCAUUCCUCUGCUGUAUCAACUUAGGUGAGAAGACUCAUACCACGCUCAUCUGUGGAUAGGUUUCAGAUUAGCUUUUUAAAGUUCAAAUUAAACCAACAACAACAGAUUCCGUAACCUUCGGCAAAGCCAGGCUAGCAGUUUCCCCCCGCUUCCAGUCUCUGUGCUAAGCUAAGCUAACGAGCUGAUGGCCAUAGGCGACUCUCAGCAAACUAUUUCUCUCAAACUGGGAGGUGUCGUUCAUUAUCGAACAUACAUUACAUUUGGUUUGGGGGAAGUAAAAAAUAAAUACUUAAUUUGGUUCGACUGGGAUCUCCCCUUUUGCCUCAGCGAUGCAGCCGAGGCAGUUGAAUACAUUGCUAUGCGAGAGUGAAGACACUCAUGCAACAUUUCCCUUUCAUCAUCAUAUUAAAUUCAGGUUUAAAAAAACAAAAACAGACACCGUAGCACCCCUUCACGUUUCCUCUGGAUACAUCCACGCUAAAGAACACGCGCACACACACACACACACGCUUUCACUCCAUCAACUGCAGAAAGAUACAUACUUCCAGCGUGAAAAAUAAAAUCUGUCACUUCAAAAACAACAACAA